rnacentral:rRNA from 1 species
AUUGAACGCUGGCGGCAUGCCUUACACAUGCAAGUCGAACGGCAGCACGGGGCAACCUGGUGGCGAGUGGCGAACGGGUGAGUAAUGCAUCGGAACGUGCCAUUGAGUGGGGGAUAACGUAGCGAAAGUUGCGCUAAUACCGCAUAUUCUGUGAGCAGGAAAGCAGGGGGACCGCAAGGCCUUGCGCUCUUUGAGCGGCCGAUGUCAGAUUAGCUAGUUGGUGAGGUAACGGCUUACCAAGGCGACGAUCUGUAGCGGGUCUGAGAGGAUGAUCCGCCACACUGGAACUGAGACACGGUCCAGACUCCUACGGGAGGCAGCAGUGGGGAAUUUUGGACAAUGGGCGCAAGCCUGAUCCAGCCAUGCCGCGUGAGUGAAGAAGGCCUUCGGGUUGUAAAGCUCUGUCGGGAGGGAAGGAAGGCGCAAGCCUGACGGUACCUCGCAAGAAAGCACCGGCUAACUCUGUGCCAGCAGCCGCGGUAAU